rnacentral:lncRNA from 1 species
GGGAGGCUGAGGCAUGGGAAUCUCUUGAACCCGGGAGGCGGAGCUUGCAGUGAGCCGAGAUCAAGCCACCGCACUCCAGCCUGGGCAACAGAGCGAGACUCCGUCUCACAAAAUAAAUAAAAGCCCCGUCUCCAAAUAUGUCACAUUGUGAGGUACCCGGGGUCAAGACUUCAACAUAAGUUGGCGGGGGGCGGGGUGCAGGGCAUAACCCUGCCCAUGACAGCCCUGGUUCAUUUCUGAACUGGUUGAAGGCUGCCUCCCUCUGCCCUUGACGCCGCACCACCUUCCUGCCUGGAUCCUCUGCUCCCAUGUACUGUCCACAUGCUGCUCGAGGGCUCCUUCUUAUGCGCCACCUAUCCUGCUUCUCAGCCCUCAGUGAAGCCCAGUUCCUUCACAGGACGCAGGAAUCCCUCUUGAACCUGGCCCUACCUUUCUCGCCUGCCUGUGUUCCUUCCAUACUUCUUGUCUUGCGCUUGUCCCAGUGGGCGCUGAACUGCUGUGACCUGGCUGUGCUGUUUCCUGACUCGAUACUUCUGCUUCUAUUUAUGCCCUCACCCUGAGUUUUUUGCCUUUGCCUGCCUACCCCUUCUUCAUUCUUCAAAAUUGACAGUGAGAGGGAGACUUCUGUGGUUCCUUGAAUUCCAUCCCAGUUCUGGCUUCUGGCCCAGAGAGACUUGCAUGCAUGCACAGAACUCAGCACAGGCAGACGGCAUGCGGACAGAUCACAGCUAGCUGCAGGCCUCACCUUAGGGGAAAUUUG